rnacentral:lncRNA from 1 species
GUGAAGAGUUUCCAUAUCAUUCAUUUUUUUUAGAGAGGCGUUUCCAUGUCAUUCUGAAAGACCAAUGUAUGUGUAGUUUUUCCUUAAUGAAAAACAUAACACUCUUUCAAAAUUCAGAGUUAGAACCAUGAGAGAUGAUAGUAAAUCCAAACAUGGUGGGUUUUAUUUUAAUUAUUUUCCAAAUACAUAGUAUAUAUAUAUCCCUAGGCCAAGGAUUCAAUUACAACAAGAGAAAUUAAAUCACUUCCUUUAUUCUGGCUUGUUUAUACAACAAACCAAGUAUUACUUAAUACUUAUUCAUCAAGCGCAAGCCCUGCAAGAACCUCAGUACGUAACCCUGCAAAGAGUAAAGUAAAUCCAUCUAUCAUCUUUAAGAAAAGCUUACAAAUUUUAGUUCAAUAUAUGAUUAACAAUAUAUAAAAAGAGUGAAAGAAAGAGAGGUGAGAGAUGUAGUUACUUGUUGCAGUCAAUGGUGGGACUAACUUUGUAGGGCACGUUGACACCACACUUUCUAGGGAGGUCAGCAAGGGCAGGAAGAUUGAGUCCAGGUAAGCUGAGUGAAGUGGAUUUGAGGCACCUACAGUUAGCUUGACGAUCAGAUACAGUUUUGGCUAAGUUGAACACAGUUCUAACUCCAUUGCAACAUGGUGCUGGAACAGAUGGACCUGGUCUCCUAAGGUAACCAAUGCAUGGUGCUACAGUUAGUUGCACUUGGCCACAUGAUUGGGCACCAUUUGCUAAGGAAGCACUCAAAACCAAAAUGCAUGGUGCUACAGUUAGUUGCACUUGGCCACAUGAUUGGGCACCAUUUGCUAAGGAAGCACUCAAAACCAAGCAUAUCAUAGCCAAGGAAGUAACCAUAAUUGAGGUAGCCAUUGAUUGUUUUGUGAGUUAGGGUGGAGGUGAUGGAUGUGUUA